rnacentral:rRNA from 1 species
UACGGGGGGGGCAAGCGUUGUUCGGAAUUACUGGGCGUAAAGGGCUCGUAGGUGGCCAACUAAGUCAGACGUGAAAUCCCUCGGCUUAACCGGGGAACUGCGUCUGAUACUGGAUGGCUUGAGUUCGGGAGAGGGAUGCGGAAUUCCAGGUGUAGCGGUGAAAUGCGUAGAUAUCUGGAGGAAUACCGGUGGCGAAGGCGGCAUCCUGGACCGGCAUUGACGCUGAGGAGCGAAAGCUAGGGGAGCAAACGGG